rnacentral:rRNA from 1 species
UACGUAGGGGGCUAGCGUUGUCCGGAUUUAUUGGGCGUAAAGAGCGUGUAGGCGGCCAGGUAGGUCUGCUGUGAAAACUCGAGGCUCAACCUCGAGAUGUCGGCGGAAACCAUCUGGCUAGAGUCCGGAAGAGGAGAGUGGAAUUCCCGGUGUAGCAGUGAAAUGCGUAGAGAUCGGGAGGAACAUCAGUUGCGAAGGCGGCUCUCUGGACCAGCACUGACACUGAGGCACGAAAGCGUGGGGAGCAAACAGG